GCAACCAUCCCCCUUCCUUCCCUUCCUUGCUUCUUCCUCCUCCCCCCUCCCUCUUCAUCCUCAACCACCACCACCACCCCGCGCGCGACGCCAUGCUCCGCCGCUAGCCCACACCCUCCCCCCACCCAGGCGCUCGGCGAAAUGUCCCACCGGGCGCCAAUGCCGGGGGGCUCCUCCUCCCUCUCCGACGCCCUCGCCGCCGCCGCGCUCCGCGACAAGCCCGACUCGCUCCCGCCGGGCCGCCUCUCCCCCGUCUCCCCCCUCGUCCACUCCAGGCUCCCCACUCCCACCUCCUCCUCCGGCUCCUCCGGCUCCGCUCCGCCGAGGCCCGCGCGGCGUGGUGGUGGUGACUACCACGGCGUCGGCGAGGGGUUCGGCCCGCUCAUCUACACGUCGUGCUCGUCGAGCGCGGGUGGUGGUGGCGGCGGCGUCGGCGCGAGCACGGCCACCUCGGCGCUCGCCGCCGGCGCGUUCCCCGCGGGGAACAUCUGCCCCUCCGGCCGCCUCCCCACCACGCCGCCGGUUCCGCCUCCCCGUGCCGCCCGCCGCGACGUGCUUGGCUCCGGCACCGGCAACUACGGCCACGGAAGCGUCGUCCGCGCGCGAUGUGCCGCUCCAGUCUCCUCCUCCGAGGACCACGCGUCGGCGGUCAGGAUGUCCGCGGCGGCGAGCGCCGAGGCGGAGGAGGUUAGGCGCGCCGGGAACGAGCAGUACAAGAACGGGUGCUUCGAGGAGGCGCUGCGGCUGUACGACCGCGCGCUCGCGCUGUGCCCCGACAGCGCCGCGUGCCGUGCCAACCGCGCCGCGGCGCUCAUCGGGCUCACCCGCCUCGGCGAGGCCGUCGAGGAGUGCGAGGAGGCCAUCCGGCUCGAUCCGUCCUACGGCCGCGCGCACCAGCGCCUCGCGUCGCUGCAAAUAAGGCUUGGGCGCACUGCUGAUGCUCGGAAGCAAAUUGGCAUGGGUGGCCUGCAGCCGGACAUUGUAGAGUUGCACAAAUUAGAAGCAGUGGAUAAACACUUGGGGAGAUUCGCUGAUGCGCGCAAGAUUGGCAACUGGAAAAGCGCGCUGAGGGAAUGCAACGCUGCAAUCGCGGCAGGAGCAGACUCUUGUGCAAUGCUCUUUGCUUCUAGAGCGGAAGCUCUUCUCCAGAUCAAUCAACUUGAUGAGGCUGAUUUGGCAAUCUCUAGAGCAUCCAAGCUUGAUUGUUCAUCCUCAUGCUCCCAGGACAUGAUGUUCUGUGGAUUUCAGUCCAACUCAUAUCUCUACUAUGUACAUGCCCAAGUUGACAUAGCUUUUGGAAGGUUUGAUAGUGCGAUGUCAUCAAUGGAGAAAGCUAGGAAAAUAGAUUCUGGAAACGUUGAAGUGAUGGCCAUGCAUAAGAGUGUGAGAACUGUUGCCCAAGCACGAACCUUAGGGAAUGAACUUUUUCAUUCUGGAAAAUUUGCAGAAGCUUUCCUAGCAUACGGCGAAGGGCUCAAGCAUCACCCUGCAAAUUCAGUCCUCUACUGCAAUAGGGCUGCUUGCAUGUUCAAGUUAGGGCAAUGGGAGAAGUCUAUUGAGGACUGCAAUGAAGCCCUUAAGAUUCAACCCAACUAUUGGAAGGCUCUCCUAAGGCGUGCAGCUUCCUAUGGCAAGAUUGAACAAUGGGCAGAUUCCGUGAAAGAUUAUGAGGUUCUUAGGAGGGAACUUCCUGGUGACACUGAGGUAGCAGAGGGGCAUUUCCAUGCCCUUGUUGCUCUUAGGUCAUCACGAGGUGAGGAUGUAUCCAAUAUGAAGUUUGGAGGAGAGGUUGAAGCACUUGUAGGAGCAGAACAAUUCCAGAUGGCUACAACCUUGCCAGGCACAAUAUUAUUGAAGAUCUUCCCAUUUCAUUGUUUCCAUGUGCACCAUGCUGCAAAACCACAAUCCAGACCAUGGACCAAUGAAGUCAUAGGACAGCAGGUAUGUUAGAUUUUAUAGCAAACUUUAACAAUUAAUAGAGUAUUACAUUUUUGCAGGUGUUUCUGUUGUUCAUUUCAUGGCACCUUUAAAUCAGCAAUGCUCUGAUAUCGCCCCAUUUGUGGAUGCACUGUGUACCAGAUAUCCAUCUGUUAAUUUCCUCAAGGUGGAUAUAACUGAGAACCCCACAGUGACACAAUUAGAAAAUGUCAAGACAGUUCCAACCUUCAAAAUUUACAAGGAUGGGACACGAGUGAUGGAGAUGAUCUGCCCCAGCCAUCAGCUGCUGGAGUCCUCACUGAGACAAUACGAGGUCUAGACCAUGACUUCAAUUAUUUAAUAUUACCUGCAAGUUCAACAUCCCCAAAAUUGACACAUGAUAGCCACAGCUAAGAAGGCAAUAUUUGUUUGCCCUCUGCGAAGGCGAGUGAAUAUAAGCGAGUGAUGUGAAAAUUUACCCCAUUUCGGCCAACCACAUUCUUCUGUGCAUUUUUACCAUCCCCAUUGUUAUUUAUGUAUCUUAUUUAUUCUUUCCAUAUAUAAUGUAUAUGCUUGCACUGUUCUUCUAAAACAUAAACAAUGUCUUACAUUCUUGUAUAGAAUAGGUGUAAAUUCUUGUUUUCAUUAAACUCGUAUAUUUAAGUUACUCAGUUUAUAUUCUGUGUAUCCACAAACCUUUAGCUGCGUCUGUAAGCUUUUGUUGCAGUUCUUUUAUACAGAUCUGUAUGUAAAUUAUAUGUAACCAUAUUGCCCAUAA